AGUAAAAGUCGUAACAAGGUUUCCGUAGGUGAACCUGCGGAAGGAUCAUUACCGAGAGUUGCAGGCUUUUGUCUGCCAUCUCUUACCCAUGUCUUUUGCGUACUACACGUUUCCUCGGCAGGUCCGCCUGCCGUUAGGACCCCAUUAAACCAUUUGCAGUUGCAGUCAGCGUCUGAAAAACUUAAUAAUUACAACUUUUAACAACGGAUCUCUUGGUUCUGGCAUCGAUGAAGAACGCAGCGAAAUGCGAUAAGUAGUGUGAAUUGCAGAAUUCAGUGAAUCAUCGAAUCUUUGAACGCACAUUGCGCCCUAUGGUAUUCCAUAGGGCAUGCCUGUUCGAGCGUCAUUUGUACCUUCAAGCUCUGCUUGGUGUUGGGUGUUUGUCCCGCCUUUGUGCGCGGACUCGCCUUAAAGCAAUUGGCAGCCGACGUCUAGGUUUCGGAGCGCAGCACAAAUCGCGCUCUGUGUCCUGGUACGGCGGCGUCCAUCAAGACUAUUUUACACUCUUGACCUCGGAUCAGGUAGGGAUACCCGCUGAACUUAAGCAUAUCAAUAAGCGGAGGAAAAGAAACCAACAGGGAUUGCCCCAGUAACG
rnacentral:rRNA from 1 species